GAGAGAGAGAGAGAGAGAGAGAGAGAGAGAGAGAGAGAAAGAGACUAAGAGACUCUGCCUGUAAGCUGUUUACAUGCGUUGCGCGUGGCUUGAGUCUGUGCGCAUGAGUGAUUUAACGGAGGGGGUGUGUAUAUGGGAAAUUGAGAUUCUGUGUGUGCGUGUGCGUGUGUGUGUGUGUGUGUGUGUACAGACGGGAAUUCUGCGCCAGAGGAAGUGAGCCGGUUCUCAGUCUGCGCGUCCCGACUUCCUGCUCUGAGGAGGGAGAGAGAAAAGCUGCGGAUCCGCUUUCAGACAGCAGCCGCGGCAGCAGCAUGGAACCCCAACACAACACACACUCCCCGCUUUAAGAAGAAAAAAAACACACACGCACGGCCAACGGACAGAGGAACAGCGGAACAGCCAUCGUCCACUGCUGGAUCGCCUGUGUCUGCGGUGUCAUCCCGUCAUGGAGAGCUCCAUCACCCUCUGGCAGUUUCUGCUGCAGCUUCUGCUCGACCAAAGCCACAAGCACCUCAUCUGCUGGACGUCCAACGACGGCGAGUUCAAGCUGCUCAAGUCAGAGGAAGUGGCCAAGCUGUGGGGGCUGCGUAAGAACAAGACCAACAUGAACUAUGACAAGCUGAGCAGGGCCCUGCGCUACUACUAUGACAAGAACAUCAUCAGGAAGGUGAUCGGCCAGAAGUUUGUCUACAAAUUUGUGUCGUUCCCGGAGAUACUGAAGAUGGACCCUGCGAUGGUGGAGUCCGGUCGUAGCAGUGAGGAAAGUGGGGGGGCAACUUCAGAGCCUGACGCUGAAGACGAGGAUGGGGGUGGCAGAAACGAAUACCUCCAUUCAGGCCUGUACUCUGCCUUCACCAUUAGCUCCCUGCAGCACUCCUUAGAACCACACCGGCCCAUCAAGAUGGAGCCCAGAUCUGAGCACCACAACGACAGCUCCUCCGUUAUCCAGUUCAUAACUAACCGUUGCCACUCUUCCCUCCCCCCCACACCACCCCCAUCCUCAACUGACACCUCACACUCCUCCAGACUGUCUCCUGGAAAGGCCCACUCUUCUUCCUGUUCCUCCUCGCCACGACAAAGUCCCACUCACAAACAGUGGAGGGGACGGGGCCCGAGCAUGGACACUGAUGUGUUGGAGCAGAUUGCCCAACCCCUAAACCUGUCAUCAGGUCAGCGAGAGAGGGAGAGGUUACAGCGCACCACCACGCCAGAGAGGAGAGGGUUGGGCCAUAGUGCACCUUCGAAGAGCAGGAAACCCAAAGGCUUGGAACUCUCAGCCCCCUCCCUCCUCCUGACAGGAAGUGACUUUGUCUCGAUCGCCCUCAACAGCCCUGCACUGCCGUCAGGAUCCAUGACCCCUGCCUUCCUCACCACACAGGUUUUUUGGCUUUGCAGACUCCAUCUGGUCUGCUGCUCACUCCCAGCCCUUUACUCUCCAACAUCCAUUUCUGGUCCAGCCUGAGUCCAGUGGGACCACUCAGCCCCGCCCAACUCCAGAGCCACGCUCCCCUCUUCCAGUUCCCCACACUGUUGAACGGACACAUUCCACUGCCUUUAUCCAGUGUGGAUGCCCCCUUGCUGUUGUCCCCGAGCUCCCACAAGUCCUGAUGUCAGCCCGAGCCCCAUCAGACAGACGUGGGCCGAACCAGGCUGAGCUGGUCCAGUUCAUCACAGAUCAGGACUCAAGCCAGUCAAGCCUUAGUCUCUGAUGAGGAACAACAUUCCUGCAGGCAGGCUUCGCCUAAAGUCUGACUGUACUUUGAUCUAAAACCUGUUUCUUUACAUGUAUUGUGUGAAGAACUGGGAGCUUCGCUCUGAAGUUUUGCUCUCUGAGAAGAGUAUUUCCAUUUGACACUUCUUUGUUUUCCUCAGUAUUGGUUUUUAAUGCCAAAAAGAAAAGAAAAAAAGAAUUAACUCAAGGUCAUGCUUCUCAUCUCAUUCCACUUGGGUUGAACUUGAGUGAUACAGACUGGUUGCAAUUCUAUGAAUGUAAAAAUCUUUUUGAACCCCUGCCCUGCUAAUCUCAGUGAUCACAACUCCGACUCAAUUUGUACGAUAACUGCGGUAUAAAAGAACAGUAUCUGAUUUUACAGUGGACUGAAUGUUAUUUUGUCAAACUCAUGGUGAUGCCAAGGAUCCAAAUAGUCACUGCUCACGGCAACAUAUGGUUCAACACAUAACCCCCUAAAACCACAACUUAAACAUUCUUUUUUGUAGGGAUUAAAUUUAAAAAAAAUAGCAAUAUUAAAAAAUAGCAAUAACGCAUCAAUUAAUGAGCUUGAGACGUGAUUGACUUAGACACAGAUGCAAAAAUCUCAAUUUUUUUUGUUAAACUUGUUAUUAAAAUGCGACCAUAACUCGAUGAUUAGAAGCGACAGGCUUCAUUGGCCAGAAAAGAAACCUGAUAGCAGGUAGCAGACUGGUUUAUCUUCCUGUAAGACAUGGCAUGUCUCAGGAUUAGUGUUGCACACGGUCAAUAUUUGUCCAGAUCUGGAUUGUUUGAGAUGGACACGUGGCCACAUGAGAUUACACCUUCACCGACUCCUGGCAGAGCAGCUGCUAGCUGGAGCGCCAAAAUCGCUCUGUAAGUUCUUCUCUUGUCUAUUGUAUUGCUUGGACAAGUUGACUUGAUGCUGUGAACUUUAUGUCCAUUGCAGUUUCAUGCUUUAAAAAAUGCACUGUACCCUUUAUGCCUUGUACCAGUUGUGCCUUCGAUAGUGUAAGAUUUAUGUAAAUGUAUUAAACUUUAAAUAUGGUUGUAACAGACAUUCCAGGUCAAAACUGCACUAAAGUGUUUUUUUGUAAAAUGGGUCCUGGUUAUUUUUAUAAAGGGAUUAAUGGAAGUCUAUUCUCAUGAUUUGCUUGUAUUUUCCUUGAGAGAAAUGUUGUUUUUGAAAUAAAAUUGAAUUACUUUUCACAA